ACAGCUGAACUAUUACCCCGUUUACACUACCUUUAAAAAACUGAGCCGAGACCGGUCCGAGCUCAGUAACUGAGAUAACUUGUCGUGUGUGAACGGAAACAACCUGAACUGAACCGAGAUAGACAUAACCGGACCGCGCUAACUGCAGACCAGUUCCCGAGGUGGGUUCGGCUCGGUUUUAUCCUGGCUCGGUUCUCUGAUAACAAGAGCGCAUGAGCAGAACGCGUCAUCGCCGACUGGCUGAACAUGCCGAUUCACACUCCAUUCCAGAAAGUCGGCUUCCCAAAAGCCGACUUUCUCAAGUACAUCCGCGCAAGGUUGCCGUCUUCGCCUGACCCACCGCAAACACGGAAGUACAGCAAUAAUAAUCAAGCAUAACUUUCUGAAUGUGACGGGCGCCGCCAUUUUGAUUUGCUUGAUUCCCUCCUCCUUCGUCUUCUUCUUCUUGGGUUUUACGGCGGUUGACAAACAGCGUUUGGUGCAUUACCGCCACCAGCUGCUUGAGUCCCUCCUUCAAUCCUAGCAGUAAUACCUCACAUCGUCACUAGGAGGCGAGGAGUCAAGGAGUCGAGAUAACCGAGAUAAGUGUGACGUGUGAACGGUCGUCAAAACUGAGCUUGGCCUGGUUACCGAUCCAAGCUCGGACCGGUCUCGGCCUGGAUCGGUUUUUCAAGGGUAGUGUAAAUGGGG